UACGGAGGAUCCGAGCGUUAUCCGGAUUUAUUGGGUUUAAAGGGUGCGUAUGCGGAAAUGUAAGUCAGUGGUGAAAUCCUGCAGCUUAACUGUAGAAUAGCCGUUGAAACUGUGUUUCUUGAGUACAUUUGAGGUAGGCGGAAUGUGGUGUGUAGCGGUGAAAUGCAUAGAUAUACCACAGAACACCGAUUGCGAAGGCAGCUUACUAAACUGUCACUGACGCUGAUGCACGAAAGCGUGGGUAUCAAACAGGAUUA
rnacentral:rRNA from 1 species